CCAGAGGCAGUACACCCUUAGGCGUAGCACCUGCACCGCCCUGCCCUGGGGAGGCGACCCCCGAGUACCCACGCGAGACACUGCAGGUGCAGCAGUUAAUGACAGUCCUGUGGUCAUUACACAGGGCUCUACAUCUCCUUGCAGAAAUGGCACCCUUCACCCCAACUCUAAAUUUCAAGGGAAGAAGCAAGGCCACCUCUGCCAAGAAAGCCAGCUCCUCACUGAAGCUCUCCUGACUUGGGGAGUGUUCCUAAGAGAAUCAGCCUCUGCCAGGCGAUGGAAGUAGCUUAUUUUGAAGACAACAUCCUCACACGUGUGUGUCCCUGUAUAUCCGGGACCCCCAGCUAAGUGUCAGCUCCUUGCUCAGAGAACCUGUGAUUGGGAAUCUCUGGGGGGAAAUGUUCCAAACGAAUCAAUUAACACCACCAGCAGAGAGUUCAAUACCUCUGUACUGAGACCCAGCUUUGUAUCAGUGCAUGAAUGAAUUACUGGUGCUCAUGUCAUUUGCAAAUAAUCAUCAUUAUAGCACAGUGGAAAAUUCCCCCUACCCAUUUAGUCUGAGUAGCACCUUAGCAGAGCAUUGCAAUGACCCUCAUGGACCCUCCAAAAUAUUUGCACAUAUAUGUGCAGAUUAAGCUUCAGAUAGUUUAAUAUGAGAGUAUCUAUUUGGACACAAGGUCACCCCUUACACUCAUUAAACCAUUCUGAAUGAGGUCUGAUAACUCUUAAGGGAAAUCAGCACUUGAAAUGCUUUCGACUUUUUGGAGACACGGAUGGAAUAUAUCAGCAGGUUUCACUCAGCAUGAGACAGCUCUGAAAACUCUAGAAAGGACAUAUCGCUGUCCCACCCCACCCUCAGAGUCGUUUUUUCACACAUCUAGGGCUUGUAGUGGGUGUGAGUUUAAUGUAAGGGGUGGGGUGGGGGAGAGGAGAACUUUACAGAAAAAGCAUGUUUCUUCUGACCAAAUCUGAUCUGAGUUGAUUUUUUUCUGCUGAUUCCUCCUACCCAGUGGGAAUUAAGGAAAAAAAAAUCCAUAAACAGCACUUUUUGUGUUCUAAAUGACAUGAAUAAAAUGAUCCAGAGCUGAGGUGAUAACUCAGUGGGUAAUUGUGCUAUUGUGCUUGCUUUCCAUGUAAGCAAGGGAAACAGUUCAAAUUCUCCAAGCCUAGGAAAAAAAAUAUCCUAGGCUUGGGUCAUGUGUCUGUAACCCUACCUUUCUGCAGGCAUUGUGGUGGAUAUAGGCAGAUAUCUGGAACUAGAUGGCCAGCCAUCCUGAGCAACUUUAAGCAAAGUGAGGUACUGUGUUCUAAAGUGUAAGACAGCGAAUAGUGGGGGAAGGACCCCUGAAGUCUCUUUUUGGCAUGUACAUCCACAGGCACAUACUCCUGUCCACAGACACAAAGAAACAGACACACAGACACAGACAGACAACACACACAUACACACACACACACACACACACACACAUACACACACACACACACACACACACACAAAUUGGAAAAUAGUUGAAGGAGCUAUUGGAGCAACUCAGAUUAAAAAAAUACCUAGGUUUUAUACUUAAUUUGCUUUCUAAAGCCUUAAUCAAUCUUCAUGUAUGAAGCAACACUUGUACCCCUCCCAGGUUUUGAAGAAUAACCUUAAGUUUAGAACAAGUGAAUAAAAUAGUGUUUUCCUAUGGGAGGACAGCUUUAUGUUUCAUUGUUAAAAUACAGCAAGGAAGAACUCGGAAGUAAACACUAGGAACAGCCUUUGCAGCUCACUCCUAUUUCACCGACAUAGGUGACUCUUGAGCUUCAACCUAAGGACAUGGGAAUAAUAAUGGCUUCAUAUUGGGAUAAUGGUAAUUAGCACAAAAAAGUUCAGUUAAUUACCAUGAAGGUUAUGACACAGACUGACAGACAGAGUCAAAGUAAACUAUGAGCCUUUUGCCCCCAGUCAAGGCUCUAAAAAGGGACUGUACGACUCCCACUGAAUUUAGACAUAAAAUACAAUUGAAAUCAGUCACCUGUUCUCCCUCCAUCCUAAUUUCUAGACUUUUAAUUUCUUUGUAUGAAAUUCAAGAACAAUAGCUCUAACAGUGUAUAUUUUGAUAAAGUAUGUAUAGUUGAUUUUCGUUGUUCUUGGUGAUUAUAUUCCAUAAAGUUGCUGCACAUAAUGAAAUGUUCCCAGUAAAGACAGAGAGGUAAGUUCCAGAGUCACUCUGCUAAGAGGAUCUUUAUUAACUGAUCAGCACAUAAUCUCAUUUUCUGAAAGCUUCUGGUAGAUACUCUGUUUAGUAUUUGUUAUUGUUUCCUGAACACUCAGCUCCCUUCGCAGCACGAUAGCCUUUGCCUAACAGAGCUUGUUAUCCCAAGCUUGUAUUUUCUGUGCAAAGCAUAGCAACCUUUUUAGGAACACCAGGAAACACAGUAUAUAUGGGGUCAUUUUGAACAGCAAAAUUGCCAAAGAACAUUCUAAAAUAGCUAGCGGU